GACGAACGCUGGCGGCAGGCCUAACACAUGCAAGUCGAACGAAGUCUUCGGACUUAGUGGCGGACGGGUGAGUAACACGUGGGAACGUGCCUUUAGGUUCGGAAUAACUCAGGGAAACUUGUGCUAAUACCGAAUGUGCCCUUCGGGGGAAAGAUUUAUCGCCUUUAGAGCGGCCCGCGUCUGAUUAGCUAGUUGGUGGGGUAAUGGCCCACCAAGGCUACGAUCAGUAGCUGGUCUGAGAGGAUGACCAGCCACAUUGGGACUGAGACACGGCCCAAACUCCUACGGGAGGCAGCAGUGGGGAAUCUUGCGCAAUGGGCGAAAGCCUGACGCAGCCAUGCCGCGUGGAUGAUGAAGGUCUUAGGAUUGUAAAAUCCUUUCACCGGUGAAGAUAAUGACUGUAGCCGGAGAAGAAGCCCCGGCUAACUUCGUGCCAGCAGCCGCGGUAAAAC
rnacentral:rRNA from 1 species